GCAUAUCAAUAAGCGGAGGAAAAGAAACCAACAGGGAUUGCCCUAGUAACGGCGAGUGAAGCGGCAACAGCUCAAAUUUGAAAUCUGGCUCUUUCAGAGUCCGAGUUGUAAUUUGCAGAGGGCGCUUUGGCUUUGGCAGCGGUCCAAGUUCCUUGGAACAGGACGUCACAGAGGGUGAGAAUCCCGUACGUGGUCGCUAGCUAUUGCCGUGUAAAGCCCCUUCGACGAGUCGAGUUGUUUGGGAAUGCAGCUCUAAAUGGGAGGUAAAUUUCUUCUAAAGCUAAAUAUUGGCCAGAGACCGAUAGCGCACAAGUAGAGUGAUCGAAAGAUGAAAAGCACUUUGGAAAGAGAGUCAAACAGCACGUGAAAUUGUUGAAAGGGAAGCGCUUGCAGCCAGACUUGCUUGCAGUUGCUCAUCCGGGCUUUUGCCCGGUGCACUCUUCUGCAGGCAGGCCAGCAUCAGUUUGGGCGGUGGGAUAAAGGUCUCUGUCACGUACCAUCCUUCGGGAUGGCCAUAUAGGGGAGACGUCAUACCACCAGCCUGGACUGAGGUCCGCGCAUCUGCUAGGAUGCUGGCGUAAUGGCUGUAAGCGGCCCGUCUUGAAACACGGACCAAGGAGUCUAACAUCUAUGCGAGUGUUUGGGUGUCAAGCCCGAGCGCGUAAUGAAAGUGAACGGAGGUGGGAACCCGCAAGGGUGCACCAUCGACCGAUCCUGAAGUUUACGGAAGGAUUUGAGUAAGAGCAUGGCUGUUGGGACCCGAAAGAUGGUGAACUAUGCUUGAAUAGGGUGAAGCCAGAGGAAACUCUGGUGGAGGCUCGCAGCGGUUCUGACGUGCAAAUCGAUCGUCAAAUUUGGGCAUAGGGGGCGAAAGACUAAUCGAACUAUCUAGUAGCUGGUUCUGCCGAAG
rnacentral:rRNA from 1 species